rnacentral:rRNA from 1 species
GAGACCCCUAUCCGUAAUUGCUAACUGUUCAGAGAUGGAUAGAGGCUAGUUACAGAGACUGCCGCUGCUAAAGCGGAGGAAGGAAGGGGCCACGGCAGGUCAGUAUGCCCCGGAACUCCUGGGCCACACGCGGGCUGCAAUGGUAGGGACAAUAGGCUCCGACCUCGAAAGAGGAAGGCAAUCCCGAAACCCUACCUCAGUUGUGAUCGAGGAUUGAAACUCGUCCUCGUGAAUAUGGAAUCCCUAGUAACCGCGUGUCAUCACCGCGCGGUGAAUAC